UAAUAUUUACCAGCUUCUUUGGAGGAGAUGUUGGAAAAUACAAAACUUAAGACUGUCAAAUGACCAAUUCACACACAGUCAAGUACUUGCUAAAUAGAAUAAUAUCUGUCAUCCAUUCUUUUGUGAGUGUGCAGACUUGUGGGAGAUAAAAACCAACAGAAUACAGGAAGAGCACUUAUACAAAAGCUCCUUAACUUUGAGAAAGAAUGCAAAGCAAUUUAAAAAAAAGCAUUAGAUCCCAAGAAAUGCUAUAAAUUGUUCCCCACUUAACUAUAAUCAUCCAAUGGGACUAUGUGCAGAAAUUAUAUUUUCUCUACUAAUCUUUUUGAUAUGUUGCAGCCAAUUUGUCAGGCAGACCUCUCCUCCUCCUACAUGGAGAUGCAAGCACCUUGGGGACAACUUCUGCGCUACCACCUUCACCAAAAGCCAAGUCUUCCUGCAGCCUGUGGAGAACUCCACCUUCAUCAGCAAAAGCCCGUGGAGAAUCUUCCAGC
rnacentral:lncRNA from 1 species